rnacentral:ncRNA from 1 species
UUUAAAAAUUUGGGAGGAUUGACAGAUUGAGAGCUCUUUCUUGAUUAUGUGGAUGGUGGUGCACGUCCGUUCUUAGUUGGUGGAGCGAUUUGUCUGGUUAAUUCAGAUAACGAACGAGACUCUAUAGCUUAUUAAAUAGGUGCGUGGUUCUCUGCACCUUGCACCUUUCUUAGAGGGACAAGCGGCUCCUAGCCGCACGAAACAGAGCAAUAACAGGUCUGUGAUGCACUUAGAUGUCCGGAGCCGCACGCACGCUACACUGAACGAAGCAGCGUGUUUUACCCCUGUCUGUUAAGACAGUAAACUUAGAAAAAAGUGACUUGAGCAAAUGCAGAGGGCUAAUUGAAGUCCAUCGAAUUA